rnacentral:rRNA from 1 species
CAGCAGCCACGGUAACACGGAGGGUGCAAGCGUUAUCCGGAUUUAUUGGGUUUAAAGGGUCCGUAGGCGGACUUAUAAGUCAGUGGUGAAAGCCUGUCGCUUAACGAUAGAACUGCCAUUGAUACUGUAAGUCUUGAGUAUAUUUGAGGUAGCUGGAAUAAGUAGUGUAGCGGUGAAAUGCAUAGAUAUUACUUAGAACACCAAUUGCGAAGGCAGGUUACCAAGAUAUAACUGACGCUGAGGGACGAAAGCGUGGGUAGCGAACAGGAUUAGAUACCCGCGUAGUCCCUGUCUCUUAUAC